rnacentral:lncRNA from 1 species
UGGAUCUACUGAGCACUUAAUAUGUGCAGACCACUUUACUAAGUGCAUGUGUGGUCAAGCCUUAACCCUGCUCAUGUAUAUAAGUGCUUCGCAAAUACUAUCAUCAUCAUUAUUAUUAUUAUUGUUAUUAUUACAGUCACUGAAUAUGAUUAGUUUGUGUUGAGUUCCACCCAGGAAAGCUAUGACCGGCAAGGCCAGGAUCCACCUUAUCAGCAACCACCUCCCGUAGCCUUGAGACCCAAGUGAUCAGCAACCUUAGCAGCAACCAAUCACCAAUCACCGCCGGUAGCCUUGAAACCCAACACCUGAGCUUGCCGAAGACUUCUUCAGCCACAGAGGAGUAUCCUCCAGAUGACCCAGAGCUGAUAAUGAAGAAGCUUGGUGUAUAAUGAGGAGACCGGACUGUGAAACAGAUAUUCUAGCCUUAUUCCAGGGACUGGCAGAGAGGGGCCAUAAAGUUUCCCUGAAGAAAGUCCAGUAUUGCCUCAUUGGAGUAUCUUUGUUACAUACUUGGAGCCGGAUAUCAGAGACUGGCUCCAACUCGAGUAGAAGCCCUGCGGAACCUCACCGUACCAUCACAAAAAAGCAGGUGAGAUCUCUACUAGGGGUGGUCGGAUACUGCAGAGCCUGGAUACCAGCCUUUGGAGAAAUCGGGAAGCCCCUAUGGCCCUCAUUCGGAAAGAAGAAUCCGAGCCCCUUCAGGCAACCACUGAGGUGAGACACGCUAUUAAGAUUGCAAACUGCUUUACUCUCAGCUCCCGCCCUAGGGAUCCCUGAAUACAAGAAGGAUUUCUACCUGUUUAUCCAUGAACGGGGUGGAGUGGCUUCUGGGGUUCUGGCUCAGUAGCUAGGGCCCCGAAAAAAACCUAUAGCUUAUUACUCUGCACAAUUGGACUCUGUAGCGAGAGGAGUGCUUAGAAGCCUCCGGGCUGCCCUCCUUGUAGAAAAGUCUAAAGAUUUGGUGCUGGACCACCGACUAAUUGUCCUGGCCCCUCAUGAGGUGGAGGCUCUCCUCUUGCAUAGCAGCACACAGACCUUCUUCCACCAAAGACUGGCCCUUAUGAUAUUGAACUAUUGGCAGCAGAGAACAUCACCCUUCAGAGGUGCAGUGUGCCGAAUCCCGCUCCCUACUUCCGGAGAUCCCCAAGGAGGGACGGGAGAGUGACUUUCACGACUGUAACCAGGUCUUAGACCUGCUUGAGAAACCCAGAUCAGAUUUGUCCAACCUCCGCCUCGAGAACCCCGACUUGACUCUGUUGACAGACGGCUCUUCCUUCAUACUUGAGGGACGCCGACACAGGGGAGCGGCACUUGUCACUCUGUAUGAUACCUU